GGAGGGAUCAUUAAUGGAAAAAAACUUAUAUAUAUAGUGUGAUAUAACAUACACACAAUAUACAAACAAACGAUCACUACAAACUUUUGAUGAGGGGAAGAAAAAAGUGCUUGCCUGAUAUAUAUACACAUUGAUUUGGAGAAUACAACUUUCAACAACGGAUCUCUUGGCUCUCACAUCGAUGAAGAACAUAGCAAAGUGUGAAAAUUAAUGUGAAUUGCACAAGUCAGUGAAUCAUUGAGUUUUUGAACGCAUCUUGCGCUCCUUGGUUAUUCCAGGGAGCAUGCCUGGUUGAGUAAUGUGAAUAACAACAUCAGUUUGGCAGUGUGUGUGCUGCUAUGAGAACUGGAGCUGAGUGGUACCUUUUUUUUAUUAGUAGUAGUAAAAAAAGGUUCACUUGAAAUAGAGGGAAAACAAAAAAGUCACAUAUACAAGGGGGACUUGGUCAAAAGAGAGGGAUAGAGGCUUGAUAAACAACAAUGACUUGAUGAGGAUGAUUUUUGGACGAGGGGCUCUAAGUUAAAGUCUUGUUUCGAGCUGUGCAAUCUCUUUUCUAUGUUGCGGCUUUUUGCUGCAAGCCAGGGAACUUUUAGGGGCACAAUGUCUUCCACAACUAGGAAAAACAUAUGAGGAUUUCGGGCGGGCAGAACCAAAAGAAUAAAUAUAUAUAUUUACUCUUUUCGGCGCUACUCGACCGUGCCUCUCUUCUAAGCAUCAUUCUCAACUCAGGCAAGACUACCCGCUGAAUUUAAGCAUAUAAAUAAGCGGAGGAAAAGAAACUAACAAGGAUUCCCUUAGUAACGGCGAGUGAAGCGGGAAAAGCUCAAAUUUGAAAUCUACCAAGAGUGAAAUCUUGGUCGAGUUGUAGUUUGAAGAAAGAGUGGCUGAGCGAAGGCCAGUUGGACGCAAGUUCUUUGGAAUACGAUAUCAGAGAGGGUUACAAUCCCGUACACCGUCCUUCUGUUGCUUUUCACCAAAGGCCCUCUUUUCAAAGAGUCGAGUUGUUUGGGAUUGCAGCUCAAAAUGGGUGGUAAAUUUCAUCUAAGGCUAAAUAAUGGUGAGAGACCGAUAGCGAACAAGUACCGUGAGGGAAAGAUGAAAAGCACUCUGAAGAGAGAGUAAAAAGUACGUGAAAUUGUUGAAAGGGAAACGCUUGAAACCAGUCAAGGUUUGCCUAGAAUCAGGGGGCUUGCGCGUAUGCGGGCUGGGUGAUAGGGGGGGAUAUAAGCUCUUUCGAGGGCGGACACACGCCUGUUGUUCAUAAGCUUGCCAGCAGCCUCUGUAUGUUCUGGUAAACGAGUCAGCAUCAGUUUGGGAUUUGGGAAAAAGCAACAGGAUUUGGUCGGGCUUUCUUAUAGGGCCUUGUGUCCUCGAAGGCCUGAGCCUGAUUGUCUAUAUACCGAAUGCCAGACUGAGGAUUGUAGUAAGGAGCAUUGACUCGGCGUGGCUCCGCCUGCGGCGCUACUCUUGACAAACAGCUUGCUGAUUGUCAAGAACGGUGCAGGGGCGCGAGCGAGGCCGAGCAGGCUUUUCAACUCUGGAUGUUGACGAAAUGGUUUUAAACGACCCGUCUUGAAACACGGACCAAGGAGUCUAACAUGGAUGCAAGUAUUUGGGUGAAAGAAACCCACAUGCGCAAUGAAAGUGAAUUUAUACCAGAGGUAGGAAGCGCGCCACACGGAACCGUGCGUGCGCGAGCAGCACUAUCGACCAAAGUUGACUAGCUUCGGCUUGAUACAUUUGAGUGAGAGCAUGCAUGUUGGGACCCGAAAGAUGGUGAACUAUGCCUGAAUAGGGUGAAGUCAGACGAAAGUCUGAUGGAAGCUCGCAGCGAUUCUGACGUGCAAAUCGAUCGUCGAAUUUGGGUAUAGGGGCGAAAGACUAAUCGAACCAUCUAGUAGCUGGUUCCUGC
rnacentral:misc_RNA from 1 species